CCUGGGUUAGCCGGCCCCCGCCCUCGGGGGUGAGGGGGCCGGCUAUCCCAGGCCGACCUGGGCUCUGCGGCACUGCGGUAUCGUCGCCUUUAGGGGGGAUUCUGACUCAGAGGCGUUCAGUCAUAAUCCCACAGAUGGUAGCUUCGCCCCAUUGGCUCCUCAGCCAAGCACAUACACCA